UGUGGGAGCUGGCUUGCCUGCGAUGGCGGUGUGUCAGCAAAGAAUCGUCCGCUGAUGCACCGCCAUCGCAGGCAAGCCAGCUCCCACA
rnacentral:misc_RNA from 1 species